rnacentral:rRNA from 1 species
AUUGAACGCUGGCGGCACGCCUAACACAUGCAAGUCGAGCGGCAGCGUGAUCAGUAGCAAUACUGAUUGUCGGCGAGCGGCGGACGGGUGAGUAAUACGUAGGAACCUGCCCAGAAGUGGGGGAUAACUAAUGGAAACGUUAGCUAAUACCGCAUACAUUCGGGAGAAGAAAGCUGCCGGUAACGGUGGCGCUUUUGGAGGGGCCUGCGUCCGAUUAGCUAGUUGGUGAGCUAAUGGCUCACCAAGGCGAUGAUCGGUAACUGGUCUGAGAGGACGACCAGGCACACUGGGACUGAGACACGGCCCAGACUCCUACGGGAGGCAGCAGUGGGGAAUCUUGGACAGUGGGGGCAACCCUGAUCCAGCGAUGCCGCGUGAGUGAAGAAGGCCCUCGGGUCGUAAAGCUCUUUAGGCUGGGAAGAAGUGUGGAAGAGGAAGUGCUUUUACAUUGACGGUACCAGCAGAAUAAGCACCGGCAAACUCUGUGCCAGCCGCCGCGGUAA